rnacentral:ncRNA from 24 species
CCGCGCUCCUGCUCGUGAUCGUCUUCUCAACCUUCACCGGGCAGGCGGAUGAAAGAAGAACCCCCGCGAUGACGUGAAUCGCGGGGGUUCUUC